AGACUCUGGGGUUUGGGGGUGGGGGUGGGAGAUCAUAGUUCUCUGACUGGUAAGAUGGUAUUUCAGUGUUUAAAGCCCCAUCCCAUGUCCCAGCUGCAGGAAGGUCCUAGGGAAGGGAGUAGAGCUUGUGGGGUGGGGUGGGGACAUCACCAGAGGCCAUCUGGUUAUCCUCCCCUGACUGCAGGGAGAGGGCAGGGUUCCCACAGCCCUCUGGACGUGAGGCAGAUGGAUGCAGAGCCCAGGGCUGUAGGUGUUGGGUGGGGUCUGGGCAAGCGGGGCCCAGGGGCAGGCCCAGGGCGAGGUUGUGCUUUAAGCCUCUUCCCCAGCUAGGCCUUGCCCUGGGUUUUCCAUCUCAACAUAGCCUGAUCAGUAGCUGUCCUCAAACGAGUUGUCUGGGAGCUGCUGGCCGCCUCCUUCUUUUCCAGACACCCCAGGAGGCUGUGCCCGAGGCUGGCUUUGUCUCUGCUUUGCAGGCUCUGCUUUGUGGGGAGCCAACUCCCUGUAAGCAGAGCCUGAGGCAAGGAUCUGGAUGCAAGGCCUGGAGACGUCUCUGCCCACUUUGCCUUGGCGAGGAGUGGCCACUGGGCUCAUCCUUCUUCUGCUUCCCCUGGACAUGCCAAGGGGCCCAGGAACAUACCUGCCCUGUGAUGCAGUGACCACUGUGCUCCUCCUGCCUUUAAUUUUUAUUGAGGUGAAAUCCACACGACACACGAUUACCCGCUUUCGAGUGGUAAUUCAGUGAGGUCUAGCUCCAUCACCACGGGAAGACACGCCUGUUGCUGGUUUCCAAACCUUCCCUGCCCCCGAGGAGCGCCCCUGGUCAUUCAGCGAUCACUCCCUUCCCUCCCAGCCCGGGAACUGACCAGUCUCCUUUUUGUCUCUACGGACUCGCCUCUCCUGACAUUUCCUAUGAGUGGAGUCACCACACGGCUCCUCCCACUCAGCGCGUUUCUCAGGCCAGUGCUGUUGCUGCGAGUGUCAGAGCUACAUUCCGUGUAGCAGCCCGUAUAGCCUGUGGCUAGAGGGAGUAAGAGUUAUUUCUUUUUUUCUUUUGCAGUUUUGGCUGGGGUCGGGCUUGAACCUGCCACCCUCGGUAUAUGGGGCUGGUGCCCUACUCCUUGAGCCACAGACGCUGCCCAGGAGUGUAUAGCUCAAUAAUAGAACACCCUGGUGAAAAGGGCAUGGAGAGGGAUUUGGCUCUCCUAACAAGCACGAGAGAGCUCAUGAGAUGAGAGCAUUGGUGAAUUGUCAGUCUCUACACCUGUAGUUUCGAGAGGCACGAGAUCAGCCUUAUCUUAGGCUGGAGGAGAAGCAGUCGGGAGCGUGCGCAUUCUAUCAUGGAUCUGCUUACUCUGACUCUGUCACUUCUCCUGCUUGCAGAACGCCAGCACGGCGUCCUUCUGCUGAAGCUUACUAAACUCUGCUAAAGACUAAGAUCUAUCUUUCUAAGACUGGUUUACUCUCUCAAAGACUAUCUGUCUCUCUGCUAAGGUAAAUAGCCCUCAGGCACCUAAGAGCAACUGUUCCUUAGUGAGAUAACAGCAUAGCGGUCCAUGUCCAGAACACAGCUAGAUAGGCUGGGGCUGGAGACCAACCAGUCCCGGGCCCUGAUAAGUGGUGUCCACGAAGGGACCCCGACAAUUCCAUUGUAUGGAAGGACCAUGUUUUGUUUAUCCCUCACCUGCUGCAGGACGUUGGGGGUGUCCCCAGCUUCUGGCCAUUCCAUUCUGUAUCUCCCAGGAUGGUGCCCUGCUCCUCAGAGGGCUUUCCCAGGUCGACACUUUAACCAUAGACUUUCAGGAGACUUUCCGUGUUCCGUCUGCCUGGCGGGUUCCAGUCUUUCUGAUACUUUCUUCUCACCAGCAGGGCCCUUGGCUGGAGGCAACGUAUUUAGUGUCCCAUGUUGGCAAAUGAGAGCCUUGAAGAGCGUGGUGGGUGAGGCUGGCUGGUGGGCAGGGAAGGUGGACUCAUAUGCUGAGUGCUGACCUGCCCAAUGAAGCAAUUGCCUCUAGGUGGAAGGGUCAGUGGGUUCCAAUGGACUCAGCUUGUCCUGCAGAUGCUGGCUGGUCUCCUUGGGGGACACAGGCUCCCUGUGGAGGGGCCAAGUUUCUCUCUGCUGCCGCUGGCUCAGCAGUCAGUAGUGGUAGACCCAGAGCAGGCUGGGCGAGAGGAUGCCCGGGACAUGGGCUGGGCAGCCUUCAGCUCCACACUGCAUCACUCUCCUGUUCAAGCUCUGGGUGUGGGGAGCCAGGAUGGCCCUCACUGACCUGGCAUCUUGUCUUCCUGGCUGUCCUCACCCCCAGGCCCACCAGGAGGCCCCAAAUACUCUGUCGUCUGCACACCUUUUCCCAGACCCCCUUGUGUAGUACCCAGCAAAGAGACCCCCCAAAGGCCCCUGUUUCAGCCUGCGUCCCCGCAUGUCUCAACCCCCCCGCCCCAGGAAGUUCCCUGAGUUCUCAAAAACUCCUAGCCACAGGUAAAACAAUGGUAGAACUUACCCCAACCCCCCUAGCAAUGGCUAAACAAUGGUGGAAAGCUUACUCAAGCAAAAUUUCCCAAGUCAAGCUUGUCCUCAUGCCAGCUGCCAUGAUGCAACCCUCGAGCCAACCAGCCCCCCGACUGUAACCCCGCCCCGAGCUACCCCCUGAGCUAACCAACUGCCACGUUCUGCUUCUGUUUUUGCUUGGCUGUGGCAAGCCAAGCACAAACAUGGUAUAAAAGACAACCUGCUUUUCUCUUCAGGGCCGUUUGCCCUUCGGGGCAGCGACCCGCCUGCGCAGGUGUAGUAAAUCACCAUCUGAUUUAUACCUGAAGUGGGGUCCGAGUUUUUCUUCCAGGUCACAACAAUGAGCACCACACUUGGUGCCAGCUCUCUGAUCUUGCCCUUCCAGGCCCUGGCCACCACCUGCCAUUGCCCAGGGGUCAGCACAUCCCAAUCUCCAGUCACUCCUCCUCAACACAAAGUUGAUGACAAGGGUCCUGCUUGAGGCGUUAUCUUUCAGGGCCACCCCAGGAGAGUGGGGCUGUGAUGUGCAGGCAGCCACUGGGCAGUCAGGUGUAGGGUUCGUGGAGAUUCCACAUUAUGAGAAUAUGAAAUAUGCGUGGAAAAUAAAGGCUGAGAAGUCCUGCCUAAGAGUGUGUGUGGGACAGUCUCAGCCACUGCAGUGGUUUGGCCAUUUAUUGAAUGGUGUAAACCCACAGCUAUUUUUUUCUUAUUGGGCAAUGCUUUUGAAAUUUUGCAAUAAAUCCAUUCAGUAGCAACAAGCAGUAAAAAAAAAAGUCAUUGAAUUCUUAUUUUUAUUUUAUUUUUUUCUCAGUUGAAUUGGUGAUGAACUUCGAACUCACAUAAAGUGGAUGUUAACCAUCCCACAUGGGCUUCAGUAAGCUGGUGAGCGUGUGAGGGCUGUGGCCUCGGCUGUGCCACAUGGUGCUGGUCACUUUAGAAAGACUGGUAAGGAUCACAGAGGGGCUUUGACACAGAACACGGGAAGCCUGUCAUCCCGCCCACAUGAAGGGCCUGUUCUCCCAAGUUCGUUUUGCUUCCUUUUAUUACAUAUCUCCUGUGCAUGGCUUGCCACACCACUAAACAGGCGUGUUUAGAUCGGCUGCCAGCAGGGGUCAGUUAAAUUAGUGCCAAUGGGGCUGAGAUUUUCCCCUCCAGUUUCUGGAAUCCAGGUAAGGCAUCUGGAAGUGCAUUUAUCACACGUGAACCACCUGUCAGUGCUGCUGUGAGUUUGGUAAGAAGAUGUCAACACUGACGCUUUGUUUGUUGAGGACCACGGUGCCAUGGUAAGAAUCACAGUGUCUGACUCAGGGUGGAAGCCCGUGGCCGGGAGCCGGCGGAAGUGCACAAGACUCCUAAUUGGAAUUAAACAAGCUUCACAUUCAACCAACAGAAGUAGCAAGUGUGGUUGUCAAAAGAUACGCCUACUCUUCAUCCACGGGAGUUCUGUUUUUGUCAGAGGUGAAGGCGAUGUGUAAUUAGAGAAGAGAAGCCUCAGGGUGGACACACACUGCUUGCCACCUGUCAGCCAGAGUUUAGAAACGUGGGCACCACUGAAGAAUCACCUUAUCGUUCAAUCUAAGUGUGCUAUGAGCAUCUUUGAGAAGGAGUCUCAAAACUUGGAUGCAUUUUAUUUAAAAUCAUUUAGAGGUUUUUAAUGAAGUUAUUUGGCAGAGUAUCAAGGCACUUUGAGGUUUUGAAUCUUUUUCUGUGAAGGCAAAUGCACCAAAAGUCAGCCCUGUGGAUGUGAGGAGGAAACACAACAAAUUUAACUGCAGAGUCCCAGGGUGCAAGGGCGACUUUCAAAACUGUAUAAUUGUGCUUUGGAAAAUCUUUACUUAUGGGAAGAAUAUUUUGUUGGUCCUUUCUGUUAAGUGGAUAAAUUUACAUUCUGAAAUUAAAUGGAACA